GGGCCAGUGGCACAAUGGACAAUGCGCCUGACUAUGGAUCAGAAGACUGCAGGUUCAACUCCUGCCUGGCUCA
rfam:Mesitornis unicolor contig98408, whole genome shotgun sequence.